UAUUAAAAGUGUGACGCAGAACACUGAUAUUGGUUAUUUGCGUCGCUUUUUAAUAAAUAAGCGACGCAAAUAAUUAAGUCAUUUGCAUCUCUCUUUUAGUAACAAGUGACGCAAAUGAUUUUGUGAAUUAUUUGCGCGUCACUUGUUACUAAAAGUGAGACGCAAAUAACUAUUCCAAAACUGAAAAAAAAUAAAAAACCUUUCUAACUUUUCUUCUUUUCGCUAGAAUUUAUCAUCAACGUUCCCCAAAACUUUUCUUCAUUCGUUCCCAAAACUUUUCUUCAUUCGUUCUUCUCAGCAACAAUUCUUUCCCAGCAACAAUUCGUUCCCAGCAACUGAAUUCGAGCAAAAAUUCGAAGGUAAUUAAGCUACCUCCUUAUUCGUUCCCAGCAGCAGCAUAAGACGAAUUUUCGAGCAACAAAUUCGAGCAACAAACGCACAGCAAAUUCGAAGGUUUAAUUUGAACCCUAAUUUAGAGCAUAAACGAGCAAAUAUGAAGGUUUAUUUUGAGGUAUUCUUUUUUCUUGGUUUUUUUUUUCCGUUUUUAAUUGAUUGUUAUUUUUGUUUUGUUCAAUUUGCUUCAGAAUUUAGGUUUUUUUGGGGCCAAAUCUAGUUAAUUAGUCUGGGAUUGGGGAGAAUUGAAUUGGGUAUUGUUUUUGAAUUUUAAGUGAAUUAGGAAGUUGCUGGUUUAGAAUUUUGAUUUGGGUUAGUUUGAAUUGAAACCCUUUUCAUUGUUGCCAUUCACCGGCGGUUUGAUUUGAGUUAUAAGUUUGCGAUUAUUUCAUUGUUUUUGUUUCUUAUGCUUUCUCUGUUAACCUUAUUGUAUCCAUUAGCUUGAUAUUGCUACAUGCUAACACUGAGGUUUUACUUGAUAUGUAGUGCUAGGACUGUGCCUCCCAAUUCAUUCAUAGUGCUUGAGCAAAAACUGUAGUGUGAAAUGGAAUUCAGAGAGUUCCCCCUUGUAAAUUGAAUUAUCUGUUGCCAUGAGGGUCGGAGGAACUUACUUUUUGAUGAAUUAUUGGUCAUAGUUUGAUUAGAGAACUAAAUCCGACAUAUAUGUGAGUAAGUCACAAAUAGCGUAUACAUUGUCAUAGUACGAAGUAUACUGAAUGAUGGGCAUACAACUUUAAAUUCUAAUUACGAAGCGGUGUGUCGAAGAAGAACAGAGAAUAAUGUGAUUCUGUUUAGUGGGGGGAGAGGGGGGGGACUCUUUAUUCGUUUCUUAUACUGGUUUGCUUGGCCUUGAUUAUAUGAUACAAAGGGAUGGUUUAGGUUCUUUCUUUAUUGGUCAUAGUUUGUGAUAAAUCUGCAUGAUUGAAUGCUUAAAGGCAUUAAGGAAACUUCCUUAACCAUUGACACAUGACGAUAGACCUGAAGCCGAGUAUGUAUUAGCUUAAAAAUCAAUUUUACUGUCAAUAGAGCAAAAAGAUGAGGAAAAGAUUUGGAUACAUAAGCAAAAACGAAGCUCUAUAUAAGGAAGUGGAGCAACUUAAGCACAAACUCGUAGAAAUUGAGAAGCUAGCAAAGGGACAAGGUAUAGCUGGUAUGUUCAACUUCAGAUUUUUUGGACAGUCAGGAACUGAAAAGUCAGCACAAGGUGCUUGAACUGACUGAUAAUUCAUCUCUAGACUAAAUUCACUAGCAACCUUAAUUUUUUUAUUUUUAGCUUUGUAUAGUUUUUACUUUUGGGUGAUAUGUGCCUGAUGCUUUGUCCAGGAUACUUGCUAGCCUGAUCAACAAGAAAAGCAGCUGUUGAUUGCUCAAUUGCCUUUCCAUUUGGAGGAGGAAAGUUUUGGUUACCCAGACCAUCCGCCCCGUGAAUAGUUCUGUGCUUCAGGAAGACGAGUUUCAUCGGCUAGCGGAUUCCACCAUACAUCAUCUGCUCGAGAAACUCGGGGAUUUUUCAAGAUCUACACCGUACACAAAUGAGGAGAUAAACGAGGUUCGAGAUAUUUGGGCAGUCUAUUUUGUAUGCAAUGUUGAACUUUAGAUCUACACUUACAAAACUCCAUUUACUUGUUAGACUCUUGUUCUAUUUGUUAAGAUUGACAUGAAUGUAUGUAUUUUGUUUACCAACAAUUUGGGUUGGUGUUGGUGAUUGUGUUGAAUGAUGACUAUAAUGUCAAUGUAAUUGAGUUGUAAAUUUAUUGGAUAGGUUUUUGAUAUGAUGCCGUCAUUCCCAAUUUUAUGGGUAGGCCAAAUUAUAAAGGAAACUCUACCAAAAUUUAUAUUUGAA